UGCGUAGGCUGAUUUUUAAGUCAGUGGUGAAAGCCCGGAGCUCAACUCCGGAACUGCCAUUGAUACUAUUAAUCUUGAAUACAGUUGAGGUGGGCGGAAUGUGUAGUGUAGCGGUGAAAUGCUUAGAUAUUACACAGAACACCGAUUGCGAAGGCAGCUCGCUAAACUGUUAUUGACGCUGAGGCACGAAAGCGUGGGGAGCGAACAGGAUUAGAUACCCUGGUAGUCC
rnacentral:rRNA from 1 species